rnacentral:rRNA from 1 species
GUGGGCUACACACACGCUACAAGUGGGUGGAACAGAGGGUUGCCACGAAGCAAUUCGGAGCGAAUCCCUUAAAACCAUCCUCAGUUCGGAUUGUAGGCUGCAAUCGCCUGCAUGAAGCCGGAGCUGCUAGUAACCGCAGGUCAGCUAUACUGCGGUGAACUACGUUCUCGGGCCUU